rnacentral:rRNA from 1 species
ACUGAGUAACACGUGGGCCUGCCCAUAAGACUGGGAUAACUCCGGGAAACCGGGGCUAAUACCGGAUAACAUUUUGAGUCAACCGCAUGGUUCGAAAUAGGCGGCUUCGGCUGUCACUUAUGGAUGGACCCGCGUCGCAUUAGCUAGUUGGUGAGGUAACGGCUCACCAAGGCAACGAUGCGUAGCCGACCUGAGAGGGUGAUCGGCCACACUGGGACUGAGACACGGCCCAGACUCCUACGGGAGGCAGCAGUAGGGAAUCUUCCGCAAUGGACGAAAGUCACGGAGCAACGCCGCGUGAGUGAUGACUUUCGGGUCGUAAAACUCUGUUGUUAGGGAAGAACAAGUGCUAGUUGAAUAAGCCUUGACGGUACCUAACCAGAAAGCCACGGCUAACUACGUGCCAGCAGCCGCGGUAUUGAUCCAGUAUACGUAGGUGGCAAGCGUUAUCCGGAAUUAUUGGGCGUAAAGCGCGCGCAGGUGGUUUCUUAAGUCUGAUGUGAAAGCCCACGGCUCAACCGUGGAGGGUCAUUGGAAACUGGGAGACUUGAGUGCAGAAGAGGAAUGGAACAUGUGUAGCGGUGAAAUGCGUAGAGAUAUGGAGGAACACCAGUGGCGAAGGCGACUUUCUGGUCUGUAACUGACACUGAGGCGCGAAAGCGUGGGGAGCAAACAGGAUUAGAUACCCUGGUAGUCCACGCCGUAAACGAGGAUCUGAUGAGUGCUAAGUGUUAGAGGGUUUCCGCCCUUAGUGCUGAAGUUAACGCAUUAAGCACUCCGUGGGGAGUACGGCCGCAAGGCUGAAACUCAAAGGAAUUGACGGGGGCCCGCACAAGCGGUGGAGCAUUAAUUCGAAGCAACGCGAAGAACCUUACCAGGUCUUGACAUCCUCUGAAAACCCUAGAGAUAGGGCUUCUCGGAUCACUUCGGGAGCAGAGUGACAGGUGGUGCAUGGUUGUCGUCAGCUCGUGUCGUGAGAUGUUGGGUUAAGUCCCGCAACGAGCGCAACCCUUGAUCUUAGUUGCCAUCAUUAAGUUGGGCACUCUAAGGUGACCGGACAAACCGGAGGAAGGUGGGGAUGACGUCAAAUCAUCAUGCCCCUUAUGACCUGGGCUACACACGUGCUAGGAUACCAAUGGACGGUACAAAGAGCUGCAAGACCGGUGGAGCUAAUCUCAUAAAACCGUUCUCAGUUCGGAACAGAUUUGUAGGCUGCAACUCGCCUACAUGAAGCUGGAAUCGCUAGUAAUCGCGGAUCAGCAUGCCGCGGUGACGUUCCCGGGCGUACACACCGCCCGU